rnacentral:rRNA from 1 species
AUGUGGACCAUUGACGCACAACGGAUUCUUUCAAUCCCAAUUUCGCAACAUAAUAUGACAGAUUUUAUUGCCUGGAGUUAUAUGAAAAAUGGUAUGUUUUCGGUACGGUCUGCUUACUCUGUGGAGUGGAACUAUUAGUAUGGGAGCAAACUAAAAUAUUCCAAUGGGAUGGGAUGGAGCACACCUAACCCUAUAUGGUGUCAGAUAUGGAAGUUAUCUUGUCCGGCUAAGGUCAUUUUUUUAUGGCGGACACUACAUGGCACUAUCCCAUGUCAGGCAACACUCACUAAUAGACACAUGAAGGUCUCGCCCUCUUGCCCUACCUGCUCUCAGGGUGUAGAAGAUACGAAACACUUGCUUUUCCUCUGUAGAAAAGCGAAGGAGGUUUGGAAAAGGCUAGGGUUGGAUAUGAUUAUUGAGAGAGCUUGUGAGAUUGAUCGUGCUGGAGAGGUAACAUUGGAAUACCUAUUACUCCUUCCAGAUCAACAUCUGUGCAUUAUGGGGUAUGAAAAUGUUCGAGAAAUGAUACCUAUCUCAGCUUGGUAUCUAUGGUGGGAAAAACGGAGAUUAGUGCACAAGGAAUUAACUCAAAAUGCGACUCAGAUCUCAAUGGGGAUCAUAGCUCUUACAUAUAAUUUUGUAAAUGCAUCAUCUUCAAAGGUGUCCAUGAAAAAUGGGGGUUGGCAAUGUCCUUCUAGGGGCUUUGUGAAACUCAAUGUUGACGCCUCUUUUGACCAUGACUUGUUGGAGGGUACGAUGGGGCAGUACUGA